rnacentral:rRNA from 1 species
GACGAACGCUGGCGGCGUGCCUAAUACAUGCAAGUAGAACGCUGAAGGAGGAGCUUGCUUCUCUGGAUGAGUUGCGAACGGGUGAGUAACGCGUAGGUAACCUGCCUGGUAGCGGGGGAUAACUAUUGGAAACGAUAGCUAAUACCGCAUAAGAGUAGAUGUUGCAUGACAUUUGCUUAAAAGGUGCAAUUGCAUCACUACCAGAUGGACCUGCGUUGUAUUAGCUAGUUGGUGGGGUAACGGCUCACCAAGGCGACGAUACAUAGCCGACCUGAGAGGGUGAUCGGCCACACUGGGACUGAGACACGGCCCAGACUCCUACGGGAGGCAGCAGUAGGGAAUCUUCGGCAAUGGACGGAAGUCUGACCGAGCAACGCCGCGUGAGUGAAGAAGGUUUUCGGAUCGUAAAGCUCUGUUGUAAGAGAAGAACGAGUGUGAGAGUGGAAAGUUCACACUGUGACGGUAUCUACCAGAAAGGAC